GUAGGGUGCAAGCGUUAAUCGGAAUUACUGGGCGUAAAGCGUGCGCAGGCGGUCUUGCAAGACAGGUGUGAAAUCCCAGGGCUUAACCUUGGAAUUGCAUUUGUGACUGCAAGGCUGGAGUACGGCAGAGGGGGAUGGAAUUCCGCGUGUAGCAGUGAAAUGCGUAGAGAUGCGGAGGAACACCGAUGGCGAAGGCAAUCCCCUGGGCCUGUACUGACGCUCAUGCACGAAAGCGUGGGGAGCAAACAGGAUUAGAUACCCUGGUAGUCCACGCCCUAAACGAUGUCAACUGGUUGUUGGGAGGGUUUCUUCUCAGUAACGAAGCUAACGCGUGAAGUUGACCGCCUGGGGAGUACGGCCGCAAGGUUG
rnacentral:rRNA from 1 species